UGGGCAGUAGCUCAGUGGUAGAGCUUCCGCCUUCUAUGUGGAAAGACCUGGGUUUGAUUUCCGGUUGUUUUC
rnacentral:tRNA from 1 species